UCCUACGGGAGGCAGCAGUGGGGAAUUUUGCGCAAUGGGCGAAAGCCUGACGCAGCAACGCCGCGUGCGGGAUGAAGGCCUUCGGGUUGUAAACCGCUUUCAGCAGGGACGAAAUUGACGGUACCUGCAGAAGAAGCCCCGGCUAACUACGUGCCAGCAGCCGCGGUAAUACGUAGGGGGCAAGCGUUAUCCGGAUUCAUUGGGCGUAAAGAGCGCGUAGGCGGUUUGUUAAGCGAGAUGUGAAAACAGGGGGCUCAACCCGCUGCCUGCAUCUCGAACUGGCAGACUUGAGUCUGGUAGAGGAAAGUGGAAUUCCUAGUGUAGCGGUGAAAUGCGCAGAUAUUAGGAGGAACACCAGUGGCGAAGGCGGCUUUCUGGGCCACGACUGACGCUGAGGCGCGAAAGCUAGGGGAGCAAACAGGAUUAGAUACCCCGGUAGA
rnacentral:rRNA from 1 species